rnacentral:rRNA from 1 species
GACGAACGCUGGCGGCGUGCUUAACACAUGCAAGUCGAACGGAAAGGCCCUGCUUUUGUGGGGUGCUCGAGUGGCGAACGGGUGAGUAACACGUGAGUAACCUGCCCUUGACUUUGGGAUAACUUCAGGAAACUGGGGCUAAUACCGGAUAGGAGCUCCUGCUGCAUGGUGGGGGUUGGAAAUUUUCGGCGGUUGGGGAUGGACUCGCGGCUUAUCAGCUUGUUGGUGGGGUAGUGGCUUACCAAGGCUUUGACGGGUAGCCGGCCUGAGAGGGUGACCGGCCACAUUGGGACUGAGAUACGGCCCAGACUCCUACGGGGGGCAGCAGUGGGGAAUAUUGCACAAUGGGCGGAAGCCUGAGGCAGCAACGCCGCGUGCGGGAUGACGGCCUUCGGGUUGUAAACCGCUUUCGCCUGUGACGAAGCGUGAGUGACGGUAAUGGGUAAAGAAGCACCGGCUAACUACGUG